UGGGGAAUAUUGGACAAUGGGCGAAAGCCUGAUCCAGCCAUGCCGCGUGUGUGAAGAAGGUCUUCGGAUUGUAAAGCACUUUAAGUUGGGAGGAAGGGCAGUUACCUAAUACGUGAUUGUUUUGACGUUACCGACAGAAUAAGCACCGGCUAACUCUGUGCCAGCAGCCGCGGUAAUACAGAGGGUGCAAGCGUUAAUCGGAAUUACUGGGCGUAAAGCGCGCGUAGGUGGUUAGUUAAGUUGGAUGUGAAAUCCCCGGGCUCAACCUGGGAACUGCGUUCAAAACUGACUGACUAGAGUAUGGUAGAGGGUGGUGGAAUUUCCUGUGUAGCGGUGAAAUGCGUAGAUAUAGGAAGGAACACCAGUGGCGAAGGCGACCACCUGGACUGAUACUGACACUGAGGUGCGAAAGCGUGGGGAGCAAACAGGAUUAGAUACCCGCGUAGUCCCUGAGCGGGCUGGCAAGGCGCAU
rnacentral:rRNA from 1 species